rnacentral:rRNA from 1 species
CCUACGGGUGGCUGCAGUGAGGAAUAUUGGUCAAUGGACGAGAGUCUGAUCCAGCCAAGUAGCGUGAAGGAUGACUGCUCUAUGGGUUGUAAACUUCUUUUAUAGGGGAAUAAAAUGUUACAAGUGGGGGAUUUUGUAUGUACUAUAUGAAUAAGGAUAGGCUAACUACGUGCCAGCAGCCGCGGUAAUACGGGGGAUGCGAGCGUUACACGGAUUUAAUGGGUUUAAAGGGAGCGUAGGUGGAAUGUUAAGUCAGUGGUGAAAGUUUGCGGCUUAACCGUAAAACUGCAGUUGAAACUGGCAGUCUUGAGUACUGUAGAGGUAGGCGGAAUUCCUGGUGUAGCGGUGAAAUGCUUAGAUAUCACGAAGAACUCCGAUUGCGAAGGCAGUUCACUGGACUGCAACUGACACUGAGGCUCGAAAGUGUGGGUAUCAAACAGGAUUAGAUACCCGAGUAGUC